rnacentral:rRNA from 1 species
UGGGGAAUUUUGGACAAUGGGCGAAAGCCUGAUCCAGCCAUGCCGCGUGAGUGAAGAAGGCCUUCGGGUUGUAAAGCUCUUUUAGUCGGAAAGAAAGAGUCGCAAUGAAUAAUUGUGAUUUAUGACGGUACCGACAGAAAAAGCACCGGCUAACUACGUGCCAGCAGCCGCGGUAAUACGUAGGGUGCGAGCGUUAAUCGGAAUUACUGGGCGUAAAGGGUGCGCAGGCGGUUUUGUAAGUCAGAUGUGAAAUCCCCGGGCUUAACCUGGGAAUUGCGUUUGAAACUGCAAGACUAGAGUGCAGCAGAGGGGAGUGGAAUUCCAUGUGUAGCAGUGAAAUGCGUAGAGAUGUGGAAGAACACCGAUGGCGAAGGCAGCUCCCUGGGUUGACACUGACGCUCAUGCACGAAAGCGUGGGGGGCAAACA